rnacentral:rRNA from 1 species
GACGAACGCUGGCGGCGUGCUUAACACAUGCAAGUCGAACGGAAAGGCCCUGCUUUUGUGGGGUGCUCGAGUGGCGAACGGGUGAGUAACACGUGAGUAACCUGCCCUUGACUUUGGGAUAACUUCAGGAAACUGGGGCUAAUACCGGAUAGGAGCUCCUGCUGCAUGGUGGGGGUUGGAAAGUUUCGGCGGUUGGGGAUGGACUCGCGGCUUAUCAGCUUGUUGGUGGGGUAGUGGCUUACCAAGGCUUUGACGGGUAGCCGGCCUGAGAGGGGGACCGGCCCAAUUGGGACUGGGGUACCGGCCCGACCUCUACGGGAGGCAGCAGUGGGGAAUAUUGCACAAUGGGCGGAAGCCUGAUGCAGCAACGCCGCGUGCGGGAUGACGGCCUUCGGGUUGUAAACCGCUUUCGCCUGUGACGAAGCGUGAGUGACGGUAAUGGGUAAAGAAGCACCGGCUAACUACGUG